AUCGUCACUAAUCGAAGCUUACAAAAAUGGAGUAAAGGAAUUUUUCUUCUUACUCAAUAUUAAUGCUUUGGGUUGAAAGUCUCCCACCAAUUCAUAUGCGGAAAACGUAAUGAGAUUUAAAAAAUUUAAAUUCUUUAAAUCAACUCAUUAAGAGAAAUAUCUUUAGAUAUUUCUCUUCUUGACCCAGUACUCUGUUACAGGAGCGCUGGUGUUUUCUUCGGUACUGGAUUCCUUAUAUAUGGAAUCUAAACCAUAGUUAUGACGAUUGCUCUUUCCCAUGCUGGAUCGAGUAACCCAAUGGAGCU
rnacentral:RNase_MRP_RNA from 1 species